CAGUCGCCGCGGUAAUACGUAGGUGGCAAGCGUUGUCCGGAAUUAUUGGGCGUAAAGGGCUCGCAGGCGGUUUCUUAAGUCUGAUGUGAAAGCCCCCGGCUCAACCGGGGAAGGUCAUUGGAAACUGGGAAACUUGAGUGCAGAAGAGGAGAGUGGAAUUCCACGUGUAGCGGUGAAAUGCGUAGAGAUGUGGAGGAACACCAGUGGCGAAGGCGACUCUCUGGUCUGUAACUGACGCUGAGGAGCGAAAGCGUGGGGAGCGAACAGGAUUAGAUACCCCCGUAGUCCCUGUCUCUUAUAC
rnacentral:rRNA from 1 species